rnacentral:misc_RNA from 1 species
GAUGAAGAACGCAGUGAAAUGCGAUAAGUAAUGUGAAUUGCAGAAUUCAGUGAAUCAUCGAAUCUUUGAACGCACAUUGCGCCCGCCAGUAUUCUGGCGGGCAUGCCUGUUCGAGCGUCAUUUCAACCAUCAAGCCCCCGGGCUUGUGUUGGGGACCUGCGGCUGCCGCAGGCCCUGAAAAGCAGUGGCGGGCUCGCUGUCACACCGAGCGUAGUAGAUUUUAUCUCGCUCAGGGCGUGCUGCGGGUUCCGGCCGUUAAACCACCUUCAUAACCCAAGGUUGACCUCGGAUCAGGUAGGAAGACCCGCUGAACUUAAGCAUAUCAAUAAGCGGAGGA